AUUGAACGCUGGCGGAAUGCUUUACACAUGCAAGUCGAGCGGCAGCGCGGGGCAACCUGGCGGCGAGCGGCGAACGGGUGAGUAAUACAUCGGAACGUACCCAGUUGUGGGGGAUAGCCCGGCGAAAGCCGGAUUAAUACCGCAUACGACCUGAGGGUGAAAGUGGGGGAUCGCAAGACCUCACGCAGUUGGAGCGGCCGAUGGCGGAUUAGCUAGUUGGUGGGGUAAAGGCCUACCAAGGCGAUGAUCCGUAGCGGGUCUGAGAGGACGACCCGCCACACUGGAACUGAGACACGGUCCAGAUUCCUACGGGAGGCAGCAGUGGGGAAUUUUGGACAAUGGGGGCAACCCUGAUCCAGCCAUUCCGCGUGAGUGAAGAAGGCCUUCGGGUUGUAAAGCUCUUUCGGCAGGAACGAAACGGUAGGCUCUAACAUAGCCUGCUAAUGACGGUACCUGAAGAAGAAGCACCGGCUAACUACGUGCCAGCAGCCGCGGUAA
rnacentral:rRNA from 1 species